rnacentral:rRNA from 1 species
CCUACGGGAGGCAGCAGUGAGGAAUAUUGGUCAAUGGACGAGAGUCUGAACCAGCCAAGUAGCGUGAAGGAUGACUGCCCUAUGGGUGGUAAACUUCUUUUAUAUGGGAAUAAAAUGUUCCACGUGUGGGCUUUUGUAUGUACCAUAUGAAUAAGGAUCGGCUAACUCCGUGCCAGCCGCCGAGGUAAUACGGUGGAUCCGAGCGUUAUCCGGAUUUAAUGAGUUUAAAGGGAGCGUAGGUGGGUUGUUAAGUAAGUUGUGAAAGUUUGCGGCUCAACCGUAAAAUUGCAGUUGAAACUGGCAGUCUUGAGUACAGUAGAGGUGGGCGGAAUUCGUGGUGUAGCGGUGAAAUGCGUAGAUAUCACGAAGAACUCCGAUGGCGAAGGCAGCUCACUGGACUGCAACUGACACUGAGGCGCGAAAGUGUGGGUAGCAAACAGGAUUAGAUACCCGAGUAGUC